CAGGAUGAACGCUAGCGGCGCGCUUAACGCAUGCAAGUCGAGCGAUGAGGCUCCCUUCGGGGGGUACAUCAGCGGCAGACGGGUGAGUAACACGUAGGUAACCUGCCCUCAAGACGGGGAUAACGCCUGGAAACGGGCGCUAAUACCGGAUGACCUUAGUUGGGGAAGCACCGGCUAAGGAAAGGCAAUAGCGCUUGAGGAGGGGCCUGCGGCCCAUCAGUUAGUUGGUAGGGUAACGGCCUACCAAGGCGAAGACGGGUAGGGGGUGUGAGAGCACGGCCCCCCACACUGGGACUGAGACACGGCCCAGACUCCUACGGGAGGCAGCAGCGGGGAAUAUUGCGCAAUGGACGGAAGUCAGACGCAGCGACGCCGCGUGGGUGAAGAAGGCCUUCGGGUUGUAAAGCCCUUUUCUGUGGGAAGAGAAAGGACGGUACCAUAGGAAUAAGCGUCGGCUAACUACGUGCCAGCAGCCGCGGUAAGACGUAGGACGCGAGCGUUAUCCGGAUUUACUGGGCGUAAAGCGUGUGUAGGCGGCGUGACAAGUUGGGCGUGAAAGCCCCGUGCUCAACGCGGGGAGGCCGCACAAUACUGUCAGGCUAGAGGGCAUCAGAGGGGUGUGGAAUUCCCGGAGUAGCGGUAAAAUGCGCAGAUAUCGGGAGGAACACCGGUGGCGAAAGCGGCACCCUGGGGUGCACCUGACGCUGAGAGACGACAGCUAGGGGAGCGAACAGGAUUAGAGACCCUGGUAGUCCUAGCCGUACACGAUGGAUGCUAGGUGUGGGAGUGAAGAACUUCUGUGCCGCAGCGAACGCGAUAAGCAUCCCGCCUG
rnacentral:rRNA from 1 species